rnacentral:lncRNA from 1 species
UUCGAUUGUCACCAGUGAUGGCAUGAAGAGAACCUUCAUGACUUAUGUUCAAACUUAGAGUUAGACUCACGUGGGGUCAUAACAUUUUGCUUAAUGAUGAUUUAGUAUUGCGAUUAGAACUGUUAGCUUACAAUUUCAGAUAUACAGAAUCAUCUAUUAUAGUUACCUAUUACAUUACAUGUGAGCAUGAUUUAGAACCCCUAUUGAUUACAGUCACCUAUUAUAAAAAAAAAAAAAAACGAGAGGUGACAUGGGUAACUAGAAGUUACCAACCAUUAUAAUUGACCAG